ACCAGUUACAGCUUUUAGUAUUUGUAUAGAAACAACGUUAACAUGCCCAGGAGCAAUGAUUUAGAACCCCUUGAGAGAUCGGAACAGUCAAAAUGAGUCUGCUUUUUGAAAUGUUAGCCUAUGUUAUUAUUGGAAUACUAUAACAAAGACCUCAGUUCCUUCAUUGUUGUUAUAUUGUAAAAAUGACGUUGCUGUAGAACUUUGAUGUGUUUGUCUGGAG